rnacentral:rRNA from 1 species
GGAUUAGAUACCCUGGUAGUCCUAGCCGUAAACGAUGGAUGCUAGGCGUUGGCAGACUCAAUCCUGUCCGCGCCGAAGUUAACACGAUAAGCAUCCCGCCUGGGAAGUACGACCGCAAGGUUAAAACUCAAAGGAAUUGACGGGGACCCGCACAAGCAGCGGAGCGUGUGGUUUAAUUCGAUGCUACACGAAGAACCUUACCCGGACUUGACAUAUAGAUGGUAGAGAAGAGAAAUUGGAUCGACUCGCAAGAGAGUUUAUACAGGUGUUGCAUGGCUGUCGUCAGCUCGUGCCG